rnacentral:rRNA from 1 species
CAAUAGCGUAUAUUAAAGUUGUUGCAGUUAAAACGCUCGUAGUCGGAUUUCGGGGCCUGCCUGCCGGUCUGCCGAUGGGUAUGCACUGGCAGGCGCGUCCUUCCUUCCGGAGACUGUCCCUACUCUUAACUGAGCGGGGUCGGGGGACGGAUCGUUUACUUUGAAAAAAUCAGAGUGUUUCAAGCAGGCAGCUCGCUCUUGCAUGGAUUAGCAUGGGAUAAUGAAAUAGGACUUUGGUGCUAUUUUGUUGGUUUCGAACACCGAAGUAAUGAUUAACAGGGACAGUCAGGGGCACUCGUAUUCCGCCGAGAGAGGUGAAAUUCUCAGACCAGCGGAAGACGAACCACUGCGAAAGCAUUUGCCAGGGAUGUUUUCACUG